AGGUGAUCUUAAUGUUCUCAAUAGGAAGUUAGCGGAAUCGAGUUUCAGAACAAAAUUUGUGUUGCUUUUAACCAGUGUACGUGGGUCUGAUUGUGCAACUACGGUUCGAAGAAUGAUGAAGAAGAUAGGAACAAACGGCCUUUGGUCAUUAUACAGCCUAAAAGGACAAAAGAAGAAAUUAGCAUUUCUAGAAAAACAAGAACUAUAUAAUGUUAUUUUAAAAUCAUCUAUCAACGCACAUC